UCCCAAAGUAUCUCACUAUGUUGAAAGGCCACUUUUUAUCUGUAGUUUUACAUCUAGCUACACUCGGAGUCACCCCACUCUGCAGUAAGGCAGCAAACAGAGACUGAGAAACGAAGCAGUGUGCCACCUUUGCCUGCUGAAGAGUCUGUAUUGACUCUUCCUUGCAUCGUGCCAACUUGUUCCCGUUUGCAGCACACAGGCAUCAAAUACAGGAUUAAAGGUGGGAGAAGGAGACUCCUCUUUUUCUUCACUUAUUCUCUGUUGGACUACAACAAAAUCUAAGGAUUUAAAAGUAUUCAUAUAGCGAUAAAAACAG
rnacentral:lncRNA from 1 species